rnacentral:rRNA from 1 species
AACGAACGCUGGCGGCGCGCCUAAUACAUGCAAGUCGAGCGAGAAGACGUAGCAAUACGUUUGUAAAGCGGCGAACGGGUGAGGAAUACAUGGGUAACCUACCCUCGAGUGGGGAAUAACUAGCCGAAAGGUUAGCUAAUACCGCGUACGCUCCUUGGACUUCGGUUCAGGGAGGAAAGCGAUACCGUGGGUAUCGCGCUCUUGGAUGGGCUCAUGUCCUAUCAGCUUGUUGGUGAGGAACGGCUCACCAAGGCUUCGACGGGUAGCUGGUCUGAGAGGACGAUCAGCCACACUGGCACUGCGACACGGGCCAGACUCCUACGGGAGGCAGCAGUAAGGAAUAUUGCGCAAUGGGCGAAAGCCUGACGCAGCGACGCCGCGUGGGGGAUGAAGGUCUUCGGAUUGUAAACCCCUUUCGGGAGGGAAGAUGGAACGAGCAAUCG